rnacentral:misc_RNA from 1 species
GAACGCACAUUGCGCCCCCUGGUAUUCCGGGGGGCAUGCCUGUCCGAGCGUCAUUUCAACCCUCAAGUCCCCUGUGGACUCGGUGUUGGGGACCGGCGAGACAGCCGCGGAUCUUCUUCCGCAGCGAGUCGCCGCCCCCCAAAUGACUUGGCGGCCUCGUCGCGGCCCUCCUCUGCGUAGUAUAGCACACCUCGCAACAGGAGCCCGGCGAAUGGCCACUGCCGUAAAACCCCCCAACUUUUUCAGAGUUGACCUCGAAUCAGGUAGGAAUACCCGCUGAACUUAAG